rnacentral:rRNA from 1 species
UACGGGGGGUGCGAGCGUUGUCCGGAUUCAUUGGGCGUAAAGCGCGCGUAGGCGGCUCCGCAAGUCGGCCGUGAAAUCUCCGGGCUCAACUCGGAGGGGUCGGGCGAGACUGCGGGGCUCGAGGUGGGCAGAGGGCAGUGGAAUUCCGGGUGUAGUGGUGGAAUGCGUAGAGAUCCGGAGGAACACCAGUGGCGAAGGCGGCUGCCUGGGCCUGGCCUGACGCUGAGACGCGAAAGCCAGGGGAGCGAACGGG